UGCCUAUUGUUAUUUUGGACUAUAGGGUGUAGUUUUUAAAGUCAUACACAAUAUGGCGGCGAUUAUGCGGAAAUGAAAUUGAAUGUUACUUCGAACACGUUCUUCUACAAAAUAACCGACCUGUAUUUAGUGCUAUUGCUUUAACAUCAAUCGAAGCAAAAAUGGCAUCAAUGUAUGCGUCUAAAAAUGUUAAAUUCAGAUGGAGACAAUCCAGAAAUGAGCUGCCAGGAAGUGAUCGAUUUUGGACACGAAGUCGAAGAUUGAGAAGUGCCUGGAUACAAGGCUAGUAUUGUUAACAUCAUCUGAUACAAUCAACUGGAACAAAGCUGAAAUGGCUGCCUGACCUGACUUAAAAAUUGAAUGGCAGUACAUCAGACUAGAAGAUUACAAGUAUUGAGGUGGACAAAAUGAAACCUGAGCCUACCAAAGCUGACAGAUGGCACAAGAAACACAUAAAUGCAGAUUGGAAGAUUCAUUCUGGAAAGUAGAAAAGGGCAUGUUACAUACGGUUAUCACUGCCAUGACAGAAACCAUAUUGAGGAGCUGGUCCACCUGUAGGAAGAAUUACGCUAUUGGUUGGAGCAGCACUAUUACCCAGCCAUACACCAGCACUUAGUUUGUCAUAGGGAGCAUUUCUGAGCAGUUAUGGAGACCACUAACUAUGCAGUUGUUGCAGUGAAACUUGCACCUGUGUGUUUUCUGUGGAGAUAAAGAGAUAGUGUCCAGCAAUGAAGACCUAACUCAAGAUCUGACCUUGUAAGGCCAAUAUGAAAUAACUAUGUGGGAAAAUGGGAAAAACCUGCAGUCAGGAAUGCACGGAAAUAAUCAAAAGAACAGUGUUAAAUUAAUCUUGAAUAACUUGACAUUUAUUUUGUUUGACAUAUUUAUCCAUGGUGCAGUGAAAAUAUUCUUUUUUUAUGCCCCCUUUUGAAAAAAGUGGGGUAUAUUGUUUUGCACAUGUCGGUCGGUCUGUCUGUCUGUCGGUCGGUCGGAAUACCAAAUGGUUUCCGAUCAAUAACUUGAGAACGCUUUGACCGAGGGACCUCAUACUUGGUAUGUGUAUUGGUCAUCACCAGCAGAUGAACCCUAUUGAUUUUGAGGUCAGUGGGUCAAAGGUCAAGGUCAGUGUGACCUUUACAUGAAAAACGGUUUCCGAUCAAUAACUUGAGAACGCUUUGACCCAGGAACCUCAUACUUGGUAGGUGUAUUGGUCAUGACCAGCAGAUGAACCCUAUUGAUUUUGAGGUCAGUGGGUCAAAGGUCAAGGUCAGUGUGACCUUAACAUGAAAAACGGUUUCCGAUCAAUAACUUGAGAACGCUUUGACCCAGGGACCUCAUACUAGGUAGGCUUAUUGGUCAUGACCAGCAGAUGAACCCUAUUGAUUUUGAGGUCAGUGGGUCAAAGGUCAAGGUCAGUGUGACUGUAAGCUGAAAAAAGGUUUUCUGAUUGUCCAUAUUUUAUUUAAGUGUCCAAAUCCUACUAACAAUUUGGCUCCCAAGGGGGCAUAAAUGUUUCACUAACAUCUCUUGUUCUCAUGGUUAUUUAGAUUUAGAAUUGAUAGGAGGGAACAUCACUAUGUAGUUUCAUGUUCAUAGUCAGAUCAAAACCCAUGUACAUGCCCAAAUGAGCAUUCGAAAAUAUCAAAAUGGUACUUGUUGUAUGUAGUGUAAGUUAAUUAACAUA